rnacentral:rRNA from 1 species
AGAGUUUGAUCCUGGCUCAGGAUGAACGCUAGCGGCAGGCCUAACACAUGCAAGUCGAGGGGUAAGGCUCUUUCGGGAGUACACGACCGACGCACGGGUGAGUAACGCGUAUGCAAUCUACCUUUUACUGGGGCAUAGCCCGGAGAAAUUCGGAUUAAUACCCCAUAAUAUUUCGGAGAGACAUCUCUCUGUUCUUAAAGCUCCGGCGGUAAAAGAUGAGCAUGCGUGACAUUAGUUUGUUGGUAAGGUAACGGCUUACCAAGACUACGAUGUCUAGGGGGUCUUAAAGGAUGGUCCCCCACACUGGUACUGAGACACGGACCAGACUCCUACGGGAGGCAGCAGUGAGGAAUAUCGCGCAAUGGACGAAAGUCUGACGCAGCCAUGCCGCGUGCAGGAUGACGGCCCUACGGGUUGUAAACUGCUUUUGUAUACUAAGAAACGGUCUCACGUGUGAGACUUUGACCCGUGUACGAAUAAGCAUCGGCUAACUCCGUGCCAGCAGCCGCGGUAAUACGGAGGAUGCAAGCGUUAUCCGGAUUUAUUAGGUUUAAAGGGUGUGUAGGCGGGGAAUUAAGUCAGUGGUGAAAUCCUGCAGCUUAACUGUAGAAUUGCCAUUGAUACUGGUUUUCUUGAGUACAGUUGAAGUAGGCGGAAUGUGUAAUGUAGCGGUGAAAUGCUUAGAUAUUACACAGAACACCGAUUGCGUAAGCAGCUUACUAAACUGUCACUGACGCUGAGGCACGAAAGCGUGGGGAGCGAACAGGAUUAGAUACCCUGGUAGUCCACGCCGUAAACGAUGAUUACUCGCUGUGUGCCCGUUAGGGUACGCGGCUUAGCGAAAGCAUUAAGUAAUCCACCUGGGAAGUACGUCGGCAACGAUGAAACUCAAAGGAAUUGACGGGGGCCCGCACAAGCGGAGGAACAUGUGGUUUAAUUCGAUGAUACGCGAGGAACCUUACCUGGGCUUAAAUGCAGAGCGACCGCUACCGAAAGGUAGUUUUUCUUCGGAACGGUUUGCAAGGUGCUGCAUGGCUGUCGUCAGCUCGUGCCGUGAGGUGUCGGGUUAAGUCCCAUAACGAGCGCAACCCCUAUCAUUAGUUGCCAGCGGAUAACGCCGGGGACUCUAAUGAGACUGCCACCGUAAGGUGUGAGGAAGGUGGGGAUGACGUCAAGUCAGCACGGCCCUUACGUCCAGGGCUACACACGUGCUACAAUGGCCAGUACAAAGGGCAGCUACCUGGUGACAGGAUGCUAAUCUCUAAAACUGGUCUCAGUUCGGAUCGAAGUCUGCAACUCGACUUCGUGAAGUUGGAUUCGCUAGUAAUCGUAUAUCAGCAACGAUACGGUGAAUACGUUCCCGGGCCUUGUACACACCGCCCGUCAAGCCAUGGAAGCUGGGGGUAUCUGAAGUCCGUAACCGCAAGGAGCGGCCUAGGGUAAAACUAGUGACUGGGGCUAAGUCGUAACAAGGUA